GGUAAAGUGGUUUGCCCAAGGCCAUGGGGCUGGUGUGUGGCUGAGUUGUGGCUUGAGCUAAGGGCUUGUAAGAGUUGACAGUCAGUAUUCCGAGAGGGAGAUGUAGGUGGAGACAGGAGAUGAAGCUGAAAGAUGAGAGACAGUCAGCCAGAGAGAAUGGAAGGAAAGAACAGGAAAGCAGAGAGAGGAGUGUCUGCCAGUCCCAGGAUACCACGGCUAUAUCAGCUUUCUAUUACUACCUAACAAAUGAUCACAAACUUUGAUACUCAAAGUCACACACAUUUAUCAUUUUUUAGUUUCUGUACGUCAGAAGUCAAGGCACAACUUAGCAGAGUUCUCUGCUUCAGGUCUUGCCAGGCUGGGCUGCAGUCGGGAGUUGGCCAGGGCUGUGGUCUCAUCCCAGGCUUGACGGGAAAGAUCUGCUUCCAAGGUCGUCAGGUUGCUGAGACCUGAAUUCACCUCCUAUGGUUGUUGGACUGAAGUCCUGUUCUCUUGCUGAUUGUUGGCCGGGGGUCACUCUCAGCAAUUAGAGGUUGCCCGCAGUCCUUUGCUACUUGACCCUCUCGUUAGGCCCAUGAGUGUCUCUAAUAAGACAGAGCCUUUUAUAUACUAUAACCGAAUUACAGAAGUCACAUUACCUUCACCAUAUAACUUAACCUAAUCUCAGGAGUAACAUUGUAUAACCUUUGCUGUAUACUAUUGCUUAGAAGCAAUUCACAGGUCCCACCCACAUGCAAGGGAGGGGAUUAUUCAGGAUGUAAACAUGAGGGCCACUCUGGGGACCUUGGAUCUAGACUGCUCUGAAGUUUGUGGGGGUCAGGGUCCUUGACUCCUCCUGAUCUGGCAUCUCUCUAUCCACUGCAGUCUCCCUUCUCCAGAGUUGCCCCAUUUUCUCUCCUGGAGCACUGGAGCUGGAAGCGACCUUAUGGCCAUCUGCACACCUCUCUGGAGCCUCCAGACCUGCUGGGCUCUAAGAGCUCUUUGCAGGUUUCUGGGGAGGCUAAGGAAGUCCAGUUUGCCUGAAUGUUACAGUUCUUUGCCCCUAGCCAUAGUUCUGUAAUUCCUGGCUGAACACCCUGUCCCUUGAGAGCCCAGAAACUUUCAUUGGCCUUUCUGUGUCUCUGAUCAGCUUAAACUGAGAAUGCCAACUUCAUAAACACUGCUUGUUUACAGACAAAGCUGAGGACCCUGGGAGAUAAUAAUAAGGGGUCUUUGAAGGCCAAAGGAUUGGGAAACACUCCUCUGGGCACCUGCUGGAUUUCAGCCCUGGGAAGACCUGAAAUGUCCAUCCUGAUUUUUCGUAGGAGGAGAAACAGCCUAGAAGGGAUGAUAAGGGUGUGAGCUCCUUCCCAGAGCCCAUCUCUCUUCCCCACACCCUGACUAGAUGGCGGGGGUGAAUUGGGGCCAGAGUGGGUGCAAGAGUCAGAUUGGGGGGG
rnacentral:lncRNA from 10 species